rnacentral:misc_RNA from 1 species
AUGAGGUUAUAUUAAGUCCACAAAAACUAGGCCAAGUGCACAUUUGUUGAUCUACAUUCUCCAAGUUCAAAUUUCAACAGACGGUACAUUUUUUAAGCUCAAAAUUUCAACAAGCAUUAACUUGGCUACAAAUGGUUACAGAUAUUGUUGAAGAAAUUCUCGUAUGUCUGAUCUUAAUUGGUAAAAAGUAUGUAUGUGGCUCAUGUAUAGUUGAAUACAUAAGAUCAAUAAUCAAGGAUAUGAUCAAAGCAAGCCGCACUUUUAGCCACCCAUUAUAUAUACACAGACACACACUAGUUAAUGAUGAGUUUCUUCAAGGUCUUUUUACUGGUUUCUUCAUUGUGUAUACAAGGAGCUUUACAAUGGCUUCCAAUGACAAGUAAAGGCCAUAGAAUCUUUCUUCUUGUGCAUCUCAAAUAGACCAAAAUGGAGAACUAGGCCACCAUGCGAUUAUUGUUGUUUUGGUGAAUUGGAAUAGAACCACUAGCCUUCAUCAUAACACUUUGAAUGAAUGCAAUCAUCAAUGCAAAUCCGAUGCAUAACAUACUGAAACCAGGGUAUUUAAAUGGUGCAUCUUCGGACAAGAAUAAAGCUGUCAAAGGACUAAAAAUUAAAGGGGAAAUAAUGUUGGCAAAUGAACUUAUGGCUGAGAUGAAUCCUUGAGCCUUUCCCUGAUAUGAGUCUUAAGAUGAGUUUAAGUAAUUAAACUUAAAAGGAAAGAAGAUGUAAUGAAAGAACAUGAACAAAAGUGAAUGUAACAAAUGAAAAGAUGCAAUUGAAACUAUGCGACGAAAAUGGCAUUUAUAGAUCAUCUUUGGUGAAGAUUUUCUUAUGUCAAAUGCUGAAUGAAACAAAAAGAAAUUGAUUCUGAGUUAAUUUCUUGUGUGGUGCAUGGUGUAUUGCAAAGCACUUUAGCCUCUCUUUGGUCGAGUCACCUGCUCAUUGGGGCCUACUUGUUUAGAUGCAAUACUGUAUAACUGUGCAAAUCAUAAAAUUACAUCAAAUAAUAGAUUAGUUCAAUCAAUCAAUCAACAUAAGGAAUAGCAGUUAACAAGAAGAUAUGUAUAUAAAACUUACGGAUGGAGGCACGAAAACGGUGAAAACAGUUAAUGCAGUAGCUGCAUAUGGAACAUCUUAGUUGAAGAAACAUUACCCAAAUGGACCAUGAUAUGCUGUAGAGAAACAUAUUGAUGAAGCCCAUAAAUAGCCCUAUCGAAAGCAAUUUUUCUUCUGAUAUAAAAGGUGUCAAGAAAGGCAUGAAAAUCAACUGUGAUACCGUUCCUGCAACUCCAACAACAAGCAAUAGAUCGGCAUAUUGAUUUUUGUUGAAGUGAAAACGGGCCUUCCAGUAGUACAUAGAAGAAGCUAUGAUUCCUCCAUCUGCAAGGCUAUGGAAGAACGCGACAAUUGCUGCUUGCGAAAAUGUUGCACUACACUUCAGCAAAGAAAUAAGAUCCCUAACUGUUAGGAUCUUCUUGGGUACUGAUGGCUUCCUAGGUAAACCAUCAUCAUCUUGAUGAGUGUCAUCAAGUCCGCUCUUCAAGAAUGGCCGAGUUAAAUAUUCACCAUUUAGUGCUUUAUCCUUCAGAAAAAUUCUCAUGUACACAGCAGCAAGUAUGGAUAUACAUGCAGCAACCUGAAAUGACAAAGAAGUAGAGAUAAAACGAGCAGCUAAGGUUCCACAAACAAAGGAGGCUAGGGAUAUGCCAGAUAGAAUUCCAAAUGCUGAAGCUCGUCGACUCUCUGAAACGUUGUCUGCCUGAAAGUGGUGCUUUGGGCUUUAUAUUCUCAGCAACAUUGUUUACUAUAAGAUGGCCAUUGGGCUAGUAGCAGGUGCUGACUCAAAAUGAAAAAAAUUGAGAAAUCCUUUAAGAAAGGCCGAAAAAUAGAACAUAUUAAUGUUAUUAUGGCCAUGUUCUUAGUCAACAUUCAUAUUUAUCCCUUUACUUCUUCUUUCUCACCCUUUUAGUGAGACUAUUGGGUUUCUUUAAGUACUUUUUUAUUUGUCUAAUAAAAUAAAUAACGAUAAGCAUUCAAUUGGUUCAAUUUCAAGACAAAUUAAAUCAAUAAAAUUAAAUAACUAAAUAGUUUGUUAUAAUAAAUACAAUUGAAUCGACUAACAAAUACAAUGGAAUUGAAUUAAAAUCUUUAAUUCUACUCUUUUAAUAGAAAAUUUAGCAUUAUUUCUCUUUAGUUUUUCCUCUUUGAUGAGAGUUUUUAUUCUCAUCGAUGAAAGUGUUUUUAGUUUUUUUUAAUUUGGUCAAUUGAAUAGAAAAGAUUAAUAUUUUCACUAAUUGGCAAUUAUAUUAAACGUUCUAAUUUUGAAUCACAUAUCCCACCCUUUAAAAUUGAGAACAAUUGUAUUCAAAACUCAAAAUCUUAAGAUUUUAUUAUCCACAACAAAGUGCAUUGACUAUAAAUUAUUUUUUACUUCUUUUUAUUAUUAAUCGUUGCUUAAGGUGGACAGUGGACAAAAUUCAAAAUCCUCCAAAUUGAUUUUAAGGUUUUGGCUAUAAUUGCUCUCAAUCUUAAAGAUUGGGAUAUGUGGUCCAAAAUGAGAAUGUUUAGAUAUAAUUGCCAAUUAGCUUAUUUGGAUAUAGUUGCCAAUUAACAAAAUCAUUUGGUCUUUUUUGUCAAAUAGGUCUUUUCAUUUUUCUUCUUUAUGAAUGAAUUAUUUUUGAUGUUUAAUUCUAAAAUUUAUUGCAAUUUCUUGAGUUUGAUAUAAUAUAUUAGAUAGAUUGAAUUCUAGAAAAUAUUCAUCAAGAAGAUAAUUAAUUACUUAGAUAGAUAUUUGUAGUGGUUUGACUGAGUUUGUUUAAAGGAAUAGGAUUCAAAUUUUGGCUUAAUUUAGCAUUCACCGGACUGCGUAUAUUGCUAUCAUGUUAAAUUUAUUGCUUUGUUGAUAUUUAUGGUUGUGUUUCUAUCUAUACAUAGUAAAAUUUUAUCUACUUCUUACAAGAUUGAGAAAAAUUAAAUUUGUCAAUGGGUAAUAUAUAUUAUUUCUGUUCACUUUUAUUUAUCGUUUAAG